rnacentral:tRNA from 1 species
AUAAUUUUAAGUUAAUUAAACUAAUAAUUUUCAAAAUUGUAAAUAUAGUAAUUAUUCUAUAAAUUAUA